rnacentral:rRNA from 1 species
UACGGAGGGGGCGAGCGUUAUUCGGAAUUAUUGGGCGUAAAGGGCGCGUAGGCGGCGCGAUAAGUCAAAGGUGAAAUCCCUCGGCUCAACUGAGGAACUGCCUUUGAGACUGUCGAGCUCGAGGCCGGGAGGGGGUAGCGGAAUUCCCAGUGUAGCGGUGAAAUGCGUAGAUAUUGGGAGGAACACCAGUGGCGAAGGCGGCUACCUGGACCGGUUCUGACGCUGAUGCGCGAAAGCGUGGGGAGCAAACAGG